rnacentral:rRNA from 1 species
UACAGAGGGUGCGAGCGUUAAUCGGAAUUACUGGGCGUAAAGGGUGCGUAGGUGGUUUUUUAAGUCGUUUGUGAAAUACACGGGCUCAACCUGUGUGCUGCGGACGAUACUGGAAAGCUAGAGUAGAGUAGAGGGAAGUGGAAUUUCCGGUGUAGCGGUGAAAUGCGCAGAUAUCAGGAAGAACACCCGUGGCUAAGGCGGCUCUCUAGUACGUGACUGACGCUGAGACGCGAAAGCGUGGGGAGCGAACAGG